rnacentral:rRNA from 1 species
UGGGGAAUAUUGCACAAUGGGCGAAAGCCUGAUGCAGCAACGCCGCGUGAGGGACGACGGGCCUUCGGGUUGUAAACCUCUUUUAGCAAGGAAGAAGCGAAAGUGACGGUACUUGCAGAAAAAGCGCCGGCUAACUACGUGCCAGCAGCCGCGGUAAUACGUAGGGCGCAAGCGUUAUCCGGAAAUUUAUGGGCGUAAAGAGCUCGUAGGCGGUUUUGUCGCGUCUGCUGUGAAAACCCGAGGCUCAACCUCGGGCCCUGCAGUGGGUACGGGCAGACUAGAGUGCGGUAGGGGAGAUUGGAACUCCUGGUGUAGCGGUGGAAUGCGUAGAUAUCAGGAAGAACACCGAUGGCGAAGGCAGAUCUCUGGGCCGUAACUGACGGCUGAGGAGCGAAAA